rnacentral:rRNA from 1 species
GAUGAACGCUGGCGGCGUGCCUAAUACAUGCAAGUCGAGCGAACAGACGAGGAGCUUGCUCCUCUGACGUUAGCGGCGGACGGGUGAGUAACACGUGGAUAACCUACCUAUAAGACUGGGAUAACUUCGGGAAACCGGAGCUAAUACCGGAUAAUAUAUUGAACCGCAUGGUUCAAUAGUGAAAGACGGUUUUGCUGUCACUUAUAGAUGGAUCCGCGCCGCAUUAGCUAGUUGGUAAGGUAACGGCUUACCAAGGCAACGAUGCGUAGCCGACCUGAGAGGGUGAUCGACCACACUGGAACUGAGACACGGCCCAGACUCCUACGGGAGGCAGCAGUAGGGAAUCUUCCGCAAUGGGCGAAAGCCUGACGGAGCAACGCCGCGUGAGUGAUGAAGGUCUUCGGAUCGUAAAACUCUGUUAUUAGGGAAGAACAAAUGUGUAAGUAACUAUGCACGUCUUGACGGUACCUAAUCAGAAAGCCACGGCUAACUACGUG